rnacentral:rRNA from 1 species
AUACGGAGGGUGCAAGCGUUAUUCGGAAUCACUGGGCGUAAAGGGUGCGUAGGCGGUUUGAUAAGUCUGAUGUGAAAUCCUAUGGCUCAACCAUAGAACUGCAUUGGAAACUGUCAGACUAGAAUACUGAAGGGGCAGAUGGAAUUAGUGGUGUAGGGGUAAAAUCCGUAGAUAUCACUAGGAAUACCGAAAGCGAAAGUGAUCUGCUGGGAAGUUAUUGACGCUGAGGCACGAAAGCGUGGGGAGCAAACGGGAUUAGAAACCCUAGUAGUCC